GAGGUCUAGAAAACUAUCUUUGCGACUUGAGUGAAGGUUAAGUGAUUAUCACUUGAACUAUCGAGGACCUUUGCCACUUGUUUAGGACUUGGCCGAACUUGUACCCUUAGGAAAAUGAUAUGAAUCACUACGAAACCGUUUUACUUGCACUUUUGACUCAAGAGUCAUAUUCAAGCAAAAAUGUUAUCAAAUUUUCCAGUUUAAAGAGCGAGCAACUAUUUCACGACUCUUCUCAAGUGAAUUUCAAUUUCUUGAUUCUUAUCGAACGAAACGCUUAAGUUUUGAACCUUGGUUGAUUUCAAAGUUCUCAAGUAAAGUUUUAUCGCAGAUUUGGACUCCCAACCCGGAGUACCACCUCGACGCGAAAACUAGAAGCACUAUUGUGGGGUACGAGUAACGCGAGAGACUUGAUAAAGACUAGUGUAGCCUUUUGUUUUGACUUUUGAAUUUUGGUUUUGUACUCGCGCUAUUCCCCGAACGAAACAUGUUGUACUUGGAUUGUAUACGUUUUGGUACUAGUUGGUGUAUUAAGACUUUGUACCUGAUUCCUAUCGAUGUAAACUAUAAGUUUGAAUCGUGAAUAUUAUUUAUGGUGCAUGGUUGUGUAUA